UGUCCGGAUUUAUUGGGCGUAAAGAGCUCGUAGGCGGCUCAGGAAGUCGGGCGUGAAAGCCUGAGGUUCAACCUCAGGACGCCGGUCGAAACUGCUGUGGCUAGGGUCCGGUAGAGGAGAGUGGAAUUCCCGGUGUAGCGGUGAAAUGCGCAGAUAUCGGGAGGAACACCAGUAGCGAAGGCGGCUCUCUGGGCCGGCACCGACGCUGAGGAGCGAAAGCAAGGGGAGCAAACAGGAUUAGAUACCCUGGUAGUCCUAGCCGUAAACGUUGGGCACUAGGUGUGGCGGAGUCAUUGACAUCUGCCGUGCCGAAGCUAACGCAUUAAGUGCCCCGCCUGGGGAGUACGGUCGCAAGGCUAAAACUCAAAGGAAUUGACGGGAGCCCGCACAAGCGGCGGAGCAGCGCGGCUAAUUCGAUGGUACCCGAAGACCCUAACCUGGGACUUUGACAUAAAUGGGAAAAACCCUAGAGAUAGGGGUGUGGCGUACAGCUGCCCAUUACAGGGUGUGUGCAUGCCUGGUCGUCAAGCUCGUGUCCUGAAGAGUGUUGGGGUUAGGUCCCGCGAACGAGAGCGCAACCCCUUGUCUAUAGUUUGCCAGGCGGAUAAUGGCGGGGAAUCAUAGGGAGAGACUCUGGCGGGGACACUUCGAGAGGAAGGGCGGGGACGGACGUCCAGGUCAUAUCAUGUGCCCCUUAUAGUGCCAGGGGCCUGCACACGCAUGGCUAACAAUGGCAGGUACAAACGGGCAACCGAUUCCGGGAGAGGUGUGAACGAAUCCCUUUAAAAGGCUGUGUCCCAGUUCGGAAUCCGGAGUCUUGCAAACUCUGGACCUCCGUGGAAGUCGGAAGUCGGUUAGUAAUCGCCGAAUCAAGCAUAUGUCGCCGGUGGAAUACGU
rnacentral:rRNA from 1 species